UACGAAGGGGACUAGCGUUGUUCGGAAUCACUGGGCGUAAAGCGCACGUAGGCGGAUGUGUCAGUCAGGGGUGAAAUCCCGGGGCUCAACCUCGGAACUGCCUUUGAUACAGCACGUCUCGAGUCCGGAAGAGGUGGGUGGAAUUCCUAGUGUAGAGGUGAAAUUCGUAGAUAUUAGGAAGAACCCCGGUGGCGAAGGCGGCCCACUGGUCCGGUACUGACGCUGAGGUGCGAAAGCGUGGGGAGCAAACAGG
rnacentral:rRNA from 1 species